AUAAACUUCGUUCAUUUCAUUUCAAUUUUAGUACCAAACUAACUCAAAAGUAUAUCAAUUUAACUUACUAUGACCAUCAAUUCAUCUUAAGUUCAAACAUGCAUUUUCUCAACACUUAAAUAGCCAAUUCAUAUGGCUAAAUACACAUUAGCAUUUAAAAGCCAAAUCUCAUGGCUAAUAUCAUAACUCAAAACAUACCAAUAUGACAUUAGCCUAUACAUGCCUUAUACCAUAAACAUACAAUUCAAAAGUACCAACUUAGAUGUCCUAUAGCGCGAUGAUGUUCCUAACGACUUUUGGAUCCGAGCUAGCCUUGAUUCUCUAUAAAACAUAAGAAAAUAACACGAAGUAAGCUUCAUAGCUUAGUAAGCUCGUAAGUGAAUAAUUCAAUACAUCAAAUACAUACAAUUUAACUAAUUGUACAUAACAUCACCAUAUAUACAAUUACAACAAACCUUUCUCAUGUCUUAAAACAUGAUCAAAUACCAUUUCAUUAUCUUUCUCUAUUAAAUACUCGAAUAGGUUCUGUACGUACCUGUAUCGUUUCGUACUAACCUCUUUCUCAAUUAUCUCAAUGAUAUUUAUAAUUCAAUUCAACUAGGUUGAAUUCAAAUAAAUCUCAAACACAUAAACAUUUAACUAAUUCAUAUAAUUGCAUAUUAUCACAUUAAGUACUAAACUUACCUUAAUAUUGCAUGAAUAUAACUUCACACAUACCUGAACCAUUCAACUCAAAUUCACAUUCAGAAUUGUUAAGAUCAUACGGAAAUCAUAUAAAACUCGUAUAUUGUCAUAUUCCGAAUAUGAUUUUACAUGUUAACGCAUAUCGAUGACACUGUCCCAAACAGAGUCUUAUACAAAUCAUAUAUUAUGCCAAUGUCCCAGACAUGGUUUUACACUUUUUCUCAUUUCGAUGCCAAUGUCCCAUACAUGGUCUUACACGAAAUUACACCUCGGAAGUCCAAAUAUAAUGACAUUAAUAUUCAAUACAUUUAUUAAGGUUCGUUCGGAGUUUUCAACUUCGUAAUUCAAUCAAUUCAUGCACGAAACUAGUCAUGCAAUGCUCAAAUCAAUUCGACAAUAUAUAUCCAUAUACGAAUCAAAUUCGACAAUGUAUAUCUUUAUACAAAUCAAAUUCGACAAUGAAUAUCCAUAUACAAAUCAAAUUCGGCAAUAUAUAUCUAUAUACAAAUCAAAUUGGGCAAUGUAUAAAACAUAUACAUUUAAAUUAAAAAAAACAUUUAUUUACUUAUGAACUUACCUUGUACUCAGAAUUGACGAAUCGGAUCGGUUACUCGAUAAUUUUGCCUUUCCCCCGAUCUAAUUCGAAUUCCUCUUUUCUUGAUUUAUAUAUAUUCAAAAUUAACUCAUUUAAUCAUAUAAUCAUUCAGUUCAGUCUAAAAACACAUUUAAGUCAAUUUGCACUUUUGCCUUAAACUUUCACAUUUCUUACAAUUUAGUUUCUAUUUCAGAAAUACACAAAAUUCAUAAAAUUCAGCAAGACCCAUGCUUGGCCGAAUUACCAUAGUGCCCUUAAUAGCCUAUAUUUCACAUUUAUUCACAUUUUAACCUUACAUUUUUAUCUUUUCACAAUUUAUUCCUUAAUUUGCAUUUUCAUCAAAAAUUACUUUAUAAAAUAUGAAAAUCUAACAUUUAAUAUUUAUAUUUCAUCAUUAAACAUCAAAAAACACAUAAGCUCAUCAAUGGCAACUAUCAAAAUCUUUUACAAUUUUGAAAUUGAAGACAUGGGCUAGCUAGUACUAGUUGCAACGAUCACAAAAACAUAAAAAUAAUUAAAAAUAGAUUAAAAAUACAUACCAAAUUGAAGGAUAUAAGAUUGUCGAAAGUUAAGCACAAAAAAGGCUUUCUUCUUUGUGAAAUUCGGU
rnacentral:lncRNA from 1 species